UGACGAAGCGACGCCGCGUGAGCGAAGAAGGCCCUAGGGUUGUAAAGCUCUGUCGAGGGUUAUGAAAUGCAGGUUGGUUAAUACCCAACCUGUUUGACAAAGGCCCCAAAGGAAGCCACGGCUAACUCUGUGCCAGCAGCCGCGGUAAUACAGAGGUGGCAAGCGUUGUUCGGUAUUAUUGGGCGUAAAGAGCACGUAGGUGGUUUUGUAAGUCAGAUGUGAAAGCCUUCUGUUCAAAGGGAGAACGGCAUCUGAAACUGCAGAUCUUGAGUGUAGGAGGGGAGAGUGGAACUUCUGGUGGAGCGGUGAAAUGCGUAGAUAUCAGAAGGAACGUCGGAGGCGAAAGCGACUCUCUGGCCUAUUACUGACACUGAGUGUGCGAAAGUUAGGGGAGCAAACGGGAUUAGAUACCCCGGUAGUCCUAACUGUAAACGAUGGGCACUAAGUAGAGGG
rnacentral:rRNA from 1 species